AACAGGAUUAGAUACCCUGGUAGUCCACGCCGUAAACGAUGUCGACUUGGAGGUUGUGCCCUUGAGGCGUGGCUUCCGGAGCUAACGCGUUAAGUCGACCGCCUGGGGAGUACGGCCGCAAGGUUAAAACUCAAAUGAAUUGACGGGGGCCCGCACAAGCGGUGGAGCAUGUGGUUUAAUUCGAUGCAACGCGAAGAACCUUACCUGGCCUUGACAUCCAGAGAACUUAGCAGAGAUGCUUUGGUGCCUUCGGGAACUCUGAGACAGGUGCUGCAUGGCUGUCGUCAGCUCGUGUUGUGAAAUGUUGGGCUAAGUCCCGCAACGAGCGCAACCCUUAUCCUUUGUUGCCAGCGGCUCGGCCGGGAACUCAAAGGAGACUGCCGGUGAUAAACCGGAGGAAGGUGGGGAUGACGUCAAGUCAUCAUGGCCCUUACGGCCAGGGCUACGCACGUGCUACAAUGGCGCAUACAAAGAGAAGCGACCUCGCGAGAGCAAGCGGACCUCAUAAAGUGCGUCGUAGUCCGGAUUGGAGUCUGCAACUCGACUCCAUGAAGUCGGAAUCGCUAGUAAUCGUAGAUCAGAAUGCUACGGUGAAUACGUUCCCGGGCCUUGUACACACCGCCCGUCACACCAUGGGAGUGGGUUGCAAAAGAAGUAGGUAGCUUAACCUUCGGGAGGGCGCUUACCACUUUGUGAUUCAUGACUGGGGGUGAAGUCGUAACAAGGUAACC
rnacentral:rRNA from 1 species